rnacentral:rRNA from 1 species
AUUGAACGCUGGCGGCAUGCUUUACACAUGCAAGUCGAACGGUAACAGGUUAAGCUGACGAGUGGCGAACGGGUGAGUAAUGCAUCGGAACGUGCCCGAUCGUGGGGGAUAACGCAGCGAAAGCUGCGCUAAUACCGCAUACGAUCUGAGGAUGAAAGCGGGGGACCGUAAGGCCUCGCGCGAUCGGAGCGGCCGAUGUCAGAUUAGGUAGUUGGUGGGGUAAAGGCUCACCAAGCCGACGAUCUGUAGAUGGUCUGAGAGGACGACCAGCCAAACUGGGACUGAGACACGGGCAAGACUCCUACGGGAGGCAGCAGUGGGGAAUUUUGGACAAUGGGCGAGAGCCUGAUCCAGCAAUGCGGCGUGAAGGAAGAAGGCCUUCGGGUUGUAAACUGCUUUUGUACGGAGCGAAAAGGCUCUCUCUAAUACAGGGGGCUCAUGACGGUACCGUAAGAAUAAGCACCGGCUAACUUCGUACCAGCCGCCGCCGUAA